rnacentral:rRNA from 1 species
UGAGGAAUAUUGAGCAAUGGGCGAAAGCCAGACUCAGCAACGCCGCGUGGACGAUGAAGGCCUUCGGGUCGUAAAGUCCUUUUCAGAGGGACGAGUGAGGACGGUACCUCUGGAAUAAGUCACGGCUAACUACGUGCCAGCAGCCGCGGUAAAACGUAGGUGGCGAGCGUUAUCCGGAUUCACUGGGCGUAAAGCGCCUGCAGGCGGUCCUGUAAGUGGGAUGUGAAAUCUCCUGGCUUAACUGGGAGGGGUCAUUCCAUACUGCAGGGCUUGAGGGCAGAAGAGGGAAGCGGAAUUCCCGGUGUAGUGGUGAAAUGCGUAGAUAUCGGGAGGAACACCAGUGGCGAAGGCGGCUUCCUGGCCUGCUCCUGACGCUGAGAGGCGAAAGCUAGGGGAGCGAACGGGAUUAGAAACCCCGGUAGUCCUAGCCGUAAACGAUGGAUACUGGGUGUCGGUGGUCCUAACCCCAUCGGUGCCGAAGCCAACGCGUUAAGUAUCCCGCCUGGGGACUACGGCCGCAAGGUUA